AUGUUCGCAGAAGCAGAAUGUUCCAGUGACACCUUGUGCCAAACUGAAGAACCUAAAGAAAUAAUAAAUCACCAGAUUCUAGAAUCUAUUAAAGAUGCUCCAGAAGUUAAUUUGCCUGCUAACUCAGAUGAAAUUAAACUUGAUCCAAGAUCUGAUGAUGAUGAUGAUACGUAAGUCAUUACAACUGCUGAAUGUGUAACUUGGCCUUUUGAGAAGCUGCUUCAUACAAUCUUUUCUUCCGCACAUAUUUUAAAUGAAGUCUAGACUUUAAUAUAUGUACAAGUAUGCAAAGCUGAGAAUUACAACCACAUCAAAUGCAUGCACUGAAACAAAACAAUAAAUUAAAACACUGCCAAUCAGAAACAAGUUUGUUCUGCAUGUCUACAAAAUAAUGGAAAGGUCCAUCACCCCUCACACAGCUGAACUCAUGUUUUAACAUAAGUUUAACUGAUGAAUAAAUUGAUUGAAUCAAUAUGAGUGAUUAGUAAGCUGAGCAAAAUUGUUGUGAUGAAUUAAUCUAUCGAUUUCCAAUUGCAGCAUUCAGAGUUAAUUGUAUGAAUGGGCUUAUAAGACAUUACACUGCACAUAGAUAAUUCAUCUAUAUAAUAAAUUCCACCAAAAUAACAAGGAACUUGUAUGUCCUUUGUUGAGUUUAUUAGCUGGCUGGACUUGUGAGGAGCUGUGAAUGUGUGUAACCAAAGGCCCUCACAGAGACACUGUUAUCACUCUGGUUUUCUAUUUAAAAUGGAUUCAAAAAUAUACUACACCAAUAGUACGGAGAUUGCUAUAGAGAUGUGAUAUUGUUUAAUGGAUAAUAGCACGUCUUUCUAUAAACAUCAUUUUGACAAUUCUGCCCAAAUCAUAAUCCUGAUCUGCAUUCAACCAAGCCUGUUAUGUAGAUGUUAUAUAGAUAUCAUCACAGCUACCAUCUAGUGCUCAGAAGUAGCACUAUUUGUAAACAUAGCAUUUUGGUAAUUUAGUGAAAACAUAACACCAUUUUUUUGUUCUUGUACAGAAAUUUUGAAGAAUCUGAAGAUGAACUGAGAGAUGAGCUUGUGGAAUUUUUGGAAAAUGUGGUAACAUCUCUAUAGAGGAGGAGAUUUCAAAAAGUCCAGUUGAAUCAGCAAACAUAGAACAAUAAUCUACAGCCAACAGCAAACAUACCAAAUCUAAUGACAUCUUGGAAGAUAAUAAUUAUUUGACAGGAGAAAAACAAAGUGCAAUUAGUUAACACAUUCUUGGAUAAUAAAUACUUAAGAAUUAAUAAUAACCAAUUGUAUGUGUGUUAAGACCCGAGUUUAGAAAGUGAGUAAUUUUUUCAUGUAAAUUUUAGUUACCUAGUAUACCAAAGUAAAAAUCUCUAUUGAGCUGGAAUUCUUUUCUGGCUUGAGUUGCAUGUAUCUCUUUGCCAAUAAACAUUCAAUGUAGAAAUUUUUUCAAAGAUGCACCUCAAUAAUCAAAUUUAUAACACCAAUAUAGAGCUUCACUACUCAUCACCAUGUUUCAUUUUUUGGGAUGAAAAUAGAUCUUACUUCAUCUAGAUCUAAUCAAUGAAACUGUAAACCUGGAUCAGGGCUGGACUAAUUCUAUUGUUGGCGAGACAGCUUAAAUAUUUAAAUUCUCCAGUGGGGAAAAAAAUCUCAGUAUGACAACAAAAGUUGAGAUUAUUUUACCCUAACUUUGUUGAACAUCCUAAUUUUAUGAGUGGGGAAUUCAGUUCUGUAUGCCUCUGCAAUCCUUUUCAAGAAAAAAAAUAUAUACUGGUAUAUAGAUUUUUCUGAGAUCAUUUCCAUCAUGUAUACUAUCUGACAAAUUUAGAUAAUGUAUAAUUUGGUUUAUAUUUUUCAAUAAAUAUUAUUUU
rnacentral:lncRNA from 1 species